UGUAAUACUCAUCUUUUGCACUCAGCAGCUCACAAAAAUGAAAAAAGCAAUCAACAAGUAUUUCUGAAAGAAAACAUUAAACAUUCUCCAGACUUUAAUCACAUGAGGAUGGAUAGAGGAUGAGAGUUGGGAUUUAUUUUCAACUUUUCCCCCAAAAUGUCAAUAACAAAUCAUAAAACACAUACACACAUACACAUACACAUACACUUCACAUUCCCUACUUCUAAAACCAGUGCCAUCUGGAUCUGGUCCUCCCUUUCCAUUUCAGUAACAGUGAUGUACUUUUCCCCAGGCUGCCCUCCAAUGUCAUCACCUCCUCUGAUGCCUGGUUGUCUUUGUCCUUCAUUUGAGUCCCUCCCAUCAUUUGCAUGUAUAUCAUUGGUCCCUACAGUGGCACUGGCUCAUGUCAUCUCUCCCUUAUCUUCUAUUGUGUAGUCUAUUCCUUCAUCCCAUCAAAGCUCAUCUGCUAGGAGUCUUGUUUGCCUGAUUAUCCCAGUACCUCUUCCGGAUGUUUUUCCAAGCUUUACUCAUCUCUGUCUGGUCAGGGUUCAUUCUAUUUUUAGACAGCCACUCAAAGUCCACUUCUUUAAGGAGACAAUAUGAUAUAGAGAAAAGACCUUAUGACUAGGAAUCAGAUGGCCUCAAUUUUAGGCCUGGUCCUCUUGAAAAGGUGCUUUCUGAUCUGUGUCAGUCACUUAGCCUCUCUUCACCUCAUUUUUAUAUGCACUAAAUAGAGAUCUAUUCAUUCAACAGCAAAAUUAAGUUGUUUUCAGACAUUGUCCUGGGCACCAGGGCUCCAAAGAACAAUAAAACAUGGAUCUUGUCCUUAAAGAACUUUCAGUUCAGUGGGGGAACAGAGAAGAAAAUGGACAGUUGCAAUACAAGAUGACAAAAACUCAACUUUAGAAGAAAGUAAUUAGGAAAGGGAGCUAGAAGAUGUAGUUUAGCAUCUCCAAGCUCUUAUUAUUUCAUCUGCAAAGUGGGGGGCCUGUCCCACCUGUGUCACCAUCCUCAAAGUAUUGUUCUGGAAAUCAAAGAAAAGGGCUUCAAAUGCUUGAAAGAACCCUAAAAUGUAAGACUGUUGUUCCCUAUUGGUUGGAAGAGCAAUUGUGAAUUCUCCUUGAUUAACGUCUUUUAUAACCGUGAAAUUCCUGUAGUGCUCUUUUACUUGUCACUUCAAAGUUUGUAUAUUUUCACUUCUCCAUAAUGUUAUGGAGAAUGUAUACUGUGGUACAGGGGUUUUUCAGACUGGCUGUACAUCAGGAUUGCUUGGAUAAGAGUUGGAAGGCUGUGAGGGGAGGGUUGGAAUUGGAAAUAUGACUUGUAUGCAUCCCAUU
rnacentral:lncRNA from 10 species